rnacentral:lncRNA from 1 species
GCAUUUUUCAGACUAACUUAAAUGCAAAAUUGAUUUUUUUAGACUAGGAUAAAAAGGAACUACUGAAAAGAUCCCAGAACACUGACAAACACUUGGAAAUCCAGGGGAAAAAAUCUUGGGUCAUCUUAUAAAAUGGAUUAUACGAACUGUCUGCAUGUGAUGCAGAUGUCAGCAACAAGCAAAACAUUCUCCAAAAAACCAGGCUAUACAUAUUUUCCUCUCUGGGAAAAUCCUGUGUCUUUCUGCAUUUAGGGAAGCAAAGAGAGAGGGGGUUGGAGAGCUAUGUUUUAUCCAUGAGCAUAAACAUCAGGCUGAUUUUGAGAAGUGAGCCAAACCAAAAAUAGCACAGAAUAUUGUUACACUAUUUUAAAAAAAUAGUAUAUAUUUUCCCUUCUAAAUCUGGCAUCCUGAAUACCUCAUUUUAAACAAGCCAGAGAUUGCAAGUUUGAAUCUGUUUGGAUAGAGGAGAAUUUAUAUAAAUGUUUUGUUCAAGCCCAAAAAGGAAGAGGAGUUUAAAUAUACAGUGUAUGAAAGAUGCAUGUACAACUUCAAAACAGCUUAGUGCAAAGAAGGGCAAAAUAGAGCCGAACCCUGUUACUCAUUCCCAGCAGUCUCCAAGGGUAAAUAUCUCACAAUUUGCAACAUUGUUUCAGUGACCCAAACAGUAAGAGAUUAACCAAAAUUUCAUAACUGUCCCUUUCUCCCUUCUGUUUCCUGGAGGAAGAGGGGGGUUGGAAAGGAGGUCAAAGAACAAAUGGAAACAAAAACUGCAUUUUACAUCCUUUUUCUGCACUUAAGAGAAAAAAAGGAGAGAGAUAAAUACUGAACCAAAUCUCUUUAAUUCCAGGCAGCUUUUAUCAUUCAGUCACUGAGUCUGUGUGUGGAAAAAUUCAUGCUAAUUCCCCCUAGCAACAAGCUCAGCCUAUCAGGAGACUCCAUGCGCCAUGCAGCUGCCAGGGAGCGAGAAUAACUCUAAGUAGGUCAGGCCUGUAUUUCUAAAAAUGCUACGGUCUAGUAACCCCACUGUCCCGUCUGUCUGCCCUGCCCCAUAAUAACCUCAAUUGCUUGGUGACACAAUGACAUACUACCCUGUUAGAGUGCAAUCAAAUCAUGCUGCAUUAUUCUGGCGCGAGCAUCACUGCAGGAUGAAGGACCCUUUGAGGGACAGCAUUAAUCAGGCAGCCAUUCACGUCCACUAGCACUUCACUCUGGAAAUGGGUCCUGCAUUAAUGACCAGCUGUUUGAACUAACACAAACAAAAUAAUGUCUUCCACCCUGUUGGGUGCACAGAAUACACUAUUCUGAUCCAGCAGGUUAUGCUUAUUGACUAAAUCUAAGAGGUAAAUUAAACAGGCUCAGAUAAUGUCAGCUUCUGGAAUCUCAAAGUAAGUAUAUUUAAAUUAUUUUACAUGCAAUGAUUUAAUACACACAAUCUUCUUUGCCUAUAAUUUUCCUCAACCAUAUGUAUUUUUAAAUGCAUGCACAGGUAACAUAAAUAUGUAGAUAUCACUUUUUUAAAAGUCCCAAUGUAAAUAGCUGAACUGACUUCUCCAUGGGCAUGGAAACAAAACAGAUUGGGAGCAAUUGGGCAGCAUGAACACAAACAAAUACAAAAUGGGAGUCAACAUUCUAAACCUACAGACCAAUCAGGAAGCACCUCCCACCAUCUCUAUGCAGGGGCUAGUCACAGUCUUACCCUCAUCUCCAAACACUGGAAGGGAAAAGAGGAAGAAAUGAAUAUGGUCUUUAAAAACUCAGAAUUUGUGCACAAUAUUGUGUAGUAUUCUAGAAAUAAGAAGAUCAUCUUCCUACUACAAUACUCUGUUUCAAUGACUCAAAACACCUCUUCCAUAUUGGCAACUAGGUAUGUGGAGGAAUGAAUAUAGUUUAUCAUUCAUUUUCAGAGAUGUUCAUGCAUUUGAUUGAACCACGAAAAAACAUUUUCUUGGAUGGUUAGUCUGCAUUUUUUAAAGGGCUUUACAGUUUCAUUUAAUGAAUAUGUGCCCUCUAACAAGCUGAUAAUUCAGCCUUCAAUUAUGCAGAAUUCAGCAAGUCUUAAACAUGUAAUCCAUUCAUAUUUGAUUUAUGAACACAGCAGAUUCAUUAAUCCAUUUGCCCUUGUUUGAACUGGGCUUGAUAACUUAGUUAUGAAUAUCUCUACUUUAUAGCACCGAUCACAGUUAUUCUUGGAGACAGUCACUGACGUAACCAUGAGUUGCUAAUUACAAGUCGCUGACAAUUCUCCUUGUCUGUGUUGCUUUGAAGUUCUAACUCUGCUUCUAUCCUACAUGCUUGCUUAGGGUUCAUGCUAUAUCCCCCUCUCCUCUCUUCCUCUCUUCUAUUUCAAUCUCUCUAGUCAUAGCUUUGGAUAUAGGUACAAAAGUGAUCUGAUUUCAACAACUUCCUUCCCAACCAGUCUCUCUGCACACAAAUCUAUAGUUGGGGAAUAUAGUAAUAAUAUUUUUACCCUUUCCCCCUACUCCAUACAGGAAUGUUACCCAGCAGCUGGCUAAAUAUAUUCCAGAACACAGUACUGCCUUUGUAGAAGUAGGAACAAAUAAUAGAAGGGUCAGAUAGACAUCCUGUAGGACAUUGCCAUGACUAUUGGACCAAUGCUUCAACUUGAAUCAGCGGCUGACUUGACUGGUUUGAGGUAACAGUUACAGCUAAGCUCUUUUCAUCCUCAAGGUCUAAAUGGACUUGAGGCUCAGUAGACAACUGUGUUUAUGGUCCCUGACAGUCAAUAUGAGAUUUGCUCACCACUUGGACAAGGCCAACUCAAACAAGACACAAGUUUUCUCCAUAUUGACUAUGUCCGUAUUAUGACAAAUCCUAUUAACGUUAAAAUGGCAAUCUCACAAUCACAUCCAAAAAUAAAAGAUUACAUAUAUAUAUUCUAUAUAAUUAUUUAUCUCCAUAGACAGUUGUAGAUAUAUCUAUCUCCAUAAAUAAUUAUUGAAACAGAUGUAUACAGAUCCUUUAUCUGACCAUUUGCUGCAAAUGUCAGCACCACCUCUUUUCUUGGACAGGGAUUUUUUUUUAAUUAUUGGCUGAUUUUGGAAUUCUUUUUAAAAAUGUAAACCUAGCACUGGGUUCAGCUCAGUUGAGCAUUUGGCCAUCUGAAGCCUGUGGCAGUCAGCUGGUCCCAGAGUCAUCUGGGAUACAUUUAUUUUGAUUAGAUUGAUCAGAUUUCUAUUUACAGUAUAGAAUUUUUCACCAUACUGGAUACAGCUGUGUUUACAGAGAUUUUUAGGAAGAAGAAAACAAAACCCCACAAUUGGUCUCAGCACAGCACUGAGGAGACAGAGCUUCAAGGAGUUAAAUCAGAGGGAGAUGCUUUCACAUUAACAAGAAAAUUCUGCAUGCGAUGGCUGCAACCAAGCGCUCACUACUCAGGAAAUGGGUGUCGAACUGGAGCUGAAAAUAUAAGCUGCAAUCAAGCCUGAUCCAGCAAAGUGACAAACUUUCUGUGUAAAAUGGUCAGAAAUCUCGUUUUCAUGUCUACACAUGCAUGCACAUGCAUCUAACUCUAUACUGCAGAGCUGUUGUUUUCUCUGGGGACACUGGUGCAGCCACCUAGCUCAUCAGUUUCUUCCUUGACAGCAUCAGGGACAUUCAGACUACAAUUUACAGUUCCUCCAUCCAUACACUGUGUUAUAAAUUAUGCCAUCCUCCCUAGAAUGAGAAUGCACAGCAUCAGACAAUCAAACAGCAUUCAGCAUCUCUUCUUUCUUUCCAUGCGUUCCCUGGCUCUGUUUUUCCUCCUGGCUCUGCCUUGUCAGGCGGACCCAUCAGAUACCUUAUUUAUCCAUCUUCAGCACCACUCUGAGGUAAAGUGCCACCACCGCAUCUCUGCAUGGUUUUCCCCAGACUAAUCCCUUUGAACAGCACAGGCUGAGAGAGUAUUGCUGGUGCCCUUGUCGUGAAGUGGAUUAGUUGGCAUUGGCACAGUAUAACAUAUCUAAGCUUCCCUUUGCCCAUCCCUUCGCUUUCUACCCAACCAACCCUAUAUCUUCUGCAGCUUCACCCAGGUCCAUGGACCCUUCUCUCCCAGCAACAACAGGAGACGGUGGCCAGGGUUCCGUGGGCAGCUCCUUCUUGAACGCUGUGCAGAUGGAUGACUCGUUUCGGAUGUGCCAGGAUGAAGCAGUGGCAGGGAAUCAGAAGCAGCAACAGUAGCAGCUCAGGUAACCAGGGGGAAGCUUGGCAUACCAACAGCAAUGCAGCACAGGAGCUUUGAGGGAAGAUAGUCUUGCUUCAAUAAAAAAACCCAAAACAAAAAAAAAAUACCCGAAAAACAAAACCAACACAGCUCAACGCCUGCGGGGGUGGAAAAACAGAAACAACCCAAAAAAAUUAAAAAGUUAAAAUGAAGAAAAAAUUGUAUAGAUCAGAAUACUUCGUGCAACUUUUAUUUCUGACAUUUCUAGUUUUAUUCCCCACCCCGCCCCCUCCAAAAUCUCUUCUGUUGCUGAACGCUACUGUCCAUGAGUGCCGAGUCACAAAGGCUCUGUCUCCAAAGCGCUGCGAACCUAGCAUCACAUGAGAAACCACAUGACGAACUGGAGUCGGCUGCUGAUGUGGUCAACUAUUUCACUAAAGGAGGGGGGAGAACAAAUAUGCUCAACUGAAAUGUGCCCUUCUCCCCUUUGGUAAUGAAGAGUUGUUGCCCUUGAACAGAC